GCCAGGUUGGCCGAGCGGUCUAAGGCGCCAGACUUAAGUUCUGGUUCCCAAUUGGGAGCGUGGGUUCGAACCCCACACCUGGCA
rfam:Melipona quadrifasciata isolate 0111107301 unplaced genomic scaffold scaffold11, whole genome shotgun sequence.